rnacentral:rRNA from 1 species
UACGUAGGGGCCUAGCGUUGUCCGGAUUUAUUGGGCGUAAAGAGCUCGUAGGCGGUUUGGUGAGUCGGGUGUGAAAUCUCCACGCUCAACGUGGAGGAGGCACCCGAUACUGCCAUGACUAGAGUCCGGUAGGGGAGUGUGGAAUUCCCGGUGUAGCGGUGAAAUGCGCAGAGAUCGGGAGGAACACCCGUAGCGAAGGCGGCACUCUGGGCCGGUACUGACGCUGAGGAGCGAAAGCGUGGGGAGCGAACAGG